rnacentral:rRNA from 1 species
GUCAGGAGGGAAGAAACUGUUUAGUCAUAAUACGGCUAUUCACUGACGGUACCUCCAGAGAAAGCACCGGCUUAACUCCGUGCCAGCAGCCGCGGUAAUACGGAGGGUGCGAGCGUUAAUCGGAAUCACUGGGCGUAAAGCGUGCGUAGGCGGCGCGGUAAGUCAGACGUGAAAGCCCUCGGCUCAACCGAGGAAUUGCGUUUGAAACUGCUGUGCUUGAGUCUCGGAGAGGUUGGCGGAAUUCCAGGUGUAGGAGUGAAAUCCGUAGAUAUCUGGAGGAACACCGGUGGCGAAGGCGGCCAACUGGACGAGUACUGACGCUGAGGUACGAAAGCGUGGGGAGCAAACACCCAUUAGAUACCCUGGUAGUCCACACCGUAAACGAUGGAUAUUAGGUGUCGGGGGUAACCCUUCGGUACCGCAGUUGACGCGUUAAAUAUCCCGCAUGGG